GCUGUCGUGUAUCCUGAACGGGCUUUGCGGCAGCUGUGUUUUUAUUUACCUUCUUUUUAGGAGAUCGAUAGUGGCCCGUAUAGCUGGCAUCAAUGUGCCUGAU
rnacentral:sRNA from 1 species